GGGGGGGCGCUCUUUUGGGGAGUAAAAAUUCCUUCACAAAUGUGUUGAUGGCUGAACAUUGCAUUAUCCUAGAAAACUUGGAGGCCAGUGAGGACAAAAAUAAAAAGUUAUAAGACUUCUGAAAAUGUGGAUUUUUGAGUUAUCUUUGGCGCCCCCUAGAACGUAAACCGUGGGGUGCAGCGUCAUGAUUUGAAUAACUUUUAAUGGCCAUGGGGUGUAGAUUGGCCUGAGCAAAUGUGGUGCCGGUGGAACGAAAGCCUUCGGAGGAGUUAGCGAAAUUCCAAUGUGUGCGGAUCGGCAAAAAAUGCAAAAUAGCCCUUUAACCGUACAUUUGACAGAUACGCGCGCAUUGACUUUUUCGUAGAUCUUUUUGAGAUACAUGUGAUUGUCAAAUUUUGUGUCAAUAUGCCAAAGCGUACAGGUGUGACACUCACCAAUGUGUAUUUUCACCUUAGGGGACAAGAAAAAAUGGACUUUUUUCUCCUGCCAUGGGGGGGGCGCUCUUUUGGGGAGUAAAAAUUCCUUCACAAAUGUGUUGAUGGCUGGACAUUGCAUCAUCCUAGAAAAGUUGGAGGCCAGUGAGGACAAAAAUAAAAAGUUAUAAGACUUUUAAAUAUGUGGAUUUUAGGGUUAUUUUGGCGCCCCCUAGAACCUAAACCGUGGGGUGCAGCGUCAUGAUUUGAAUAACUUUUAAUGGCCAUGGGGUGUAGAUUGGCCUGAGCAAAUGUGGUGCCGGUGGAACGAAAGCCUUCGGAGGAGUUAGCGAAAUUCCAAUGUGUGCGGAUCGGCAAAAAAUGCGGAAUAACCCUUUAACCGUACAUUUGACAGAUACGCGCGCAUUGACUUUUUCGUAGAUCUUAUUGAAAUACACGUGUAUGUCAAAUUUUGUGUCAAUAUGACAAAACAUACAGGCGUAGCACUCAACAAUGUGUAUUUUCACCUUAGUGGACAAGAUAAAAUGGACUUUUUUCUCCUGCCAUGGGGGGGCGCUCUUUUGGGGAUUAAAAAUUCCUUCACAAAUGUGUUGAUGGCUGGACAUUGCAUCAUCCUAGAAAACUUGGAGGCCAGUGAGGGCAAAAAUAAAAAGUUAUAAGACUUUUAAAUAUGUGGAUUUUAGGGUUAUCUUUGGCGCCCCCUAGAACCUAAACCGUGGGGUGCAGCGUCAUGAUUUGAAUAUCUUUUAAUGGCCAUGGGGUGUAGAUUGGCCUGAGCAAAUGUGGUGCCGGUGGAAAGAAAGCCUUCGGAGGAGUUAGCGAAAUUCCAAUGUGUGCGGAUCGGCAAAAAAUGCGGAAUAACCCUUUAACCGUACAUUUGACAGAUACGCCCGCACUGACUUUUUUGUAGAUCUUAUUGAGAUACAUAUGUGUGUCAAUUUUUGUGUCAUUUUGACAAAGCGUACAGCCGUGACAGUCAAUAGUGUGAAUUUUCAUCUUAGGGGGCGCUAUGGAGCCAUUUUGCAUUUUCUUGAUUGGUCGACUUCGGAAUAUCAAAUUUUUCACCAGGCCCGGUCAUCCUGCCAAAUUUCAUGAGUUUUCGCCAGUGGGAAGUGGGCCAUUUUCCAGUUCAAAGGGGAGGAAAAAGAAGAAACUAGGGCCCCGUUGGGGCACUGGCGGGCCCGAGCCGUGUCACGCCGCCCCCAGCGCGACCGCCUCCCCCACCCGAUCGCGUCACACUCAAGGUCCAAAGAUGGUGUGCGCACUUGUUUGUGGUCAUUUACCAUUAUAAUGAACGGGAGGCGCAGUUUCUACCAAAACGCUCGCUGCAGAAAAACUCCAUGUCCUAUUUGAAAAAAGUCUGGACCAUGAGUGAGGGCACAAAUACAGCUAAGAUAUAUCCAAAUGGCAAGUUGCUCCUCCUUUCGCUUUUGCCGAGAGAGCAGUGCGUUUGAGCCAUUGAAUGAUGAACAGGAAAAACUUGACUUUAUUCUCCUGCCAUGGGGGGGGGGCGCUCUUUUAAAGAGAAAAAACUCCUUCACAAAUGUGUUGAUGGCUGGACAUUGCAUCAUCCUAGAAAACAUGGAGGCCAGUGAGGACAAAAAUAAAAAGUUAUAAGACUUUUAAAUAUGUGGAUUUUAGGGUUAUCUUUGGCGCCCCCUAGAACCUAAACCGUGGGGUGCAGCGUCAUGAUUUGAAUAACUUUUAAUGGCCAUGGGGUGUAGAUUGGCCUGAGCAAAUGUGGUGCCGGUGGAACGAAAGCCUUCGGAGGAAUUAGCGAAAUUCCAAUGUGUGCGAAUCUGCAAAAAAUGCGAAAUAACCCUUUAACCGUACAUUUUACAGAUACGUGCCCAUUGACUUUUUCGAAGAUCUUAUUGAAAUACACAUGUAUGUAAAAUUUUGUGUCAAUACGACAAAACAUACAGGCGUAGCACUCAACAAUGUGUAUUUUCACCUUAGUGGACAAGAAAAAAUUGACUUUUUUCUCCUGCCAUGGGGGGGCGCUCUUUUGCCGAGUAAAAAUUCCUUCACAAAUGUGUUGAUGGCUGGACAUUGCAUCAUCCUAGAAAACUUGGAGGCCAGUGAGGGCAAAAAUAAAAAGUUAUAAGACUUUUAAAUAUGUGGAUCUUAGGGUUAUCUUUGGCUCCCCCUAGAACCUAAACCGUGGGGUGCAGCGUCAUGAUUUGAAUAACUUUUAAUGGCCAUGGGGUGUAGAUUGGCCUGAGCAAAUGUGGUGCCGGUGGAACGAAAGCCUUCGGAGGAAUUAGCGAAAUUCCAAUGUGUGCGAAUCUGCAAAAAAUGCGAAAUAACCCUUUAACCGUACAUUUUACAGAUACGUGGCCAUUGACUUUUUCGAAGAUCUUAUUGAAAUACACGUGUAUGUAAAAUUUUGUGUCAUUUUGACAAAACAUACAGGCGUAGCACUCAACAAUGUGUAUUUUCACCUUAGUGGACAAGAAAAAAUUGACUUUUUUCUCCUGCCAUGGGGGGGCGCUCUUUUGCCGAGUAAAAAUUCCUUCACAAAUGUGUUGAUGGCUGGACAUUGCAUCAUCCUAGAAAACUUGGAGGCCAGUGGGGACAAAAAUAAAAAGUUAUAAGACUUUUAAAUAUGUGGAUUUUACGGUUAUAUUUGGCGCCCCCUAGAACCUAAACCGUGGGGUGCAGCGUCAUGAUUUGAAUAACUUUUAAUGGCCAUGGGGUGUAGAUUGGCCUGAGCAAAUGUGGUGCCGGUGGAACGAAAGCCUUCGGAGGAGUUAGCGAAAUUCCAAUGUGUGCGGAUCGGCAAAAAAUGCGGAAUAACCCUUUAACCGUACAUUUGACAGAUACGCGCGCAUUAUCUUUUUCGUAGAUCUUAUUGAGAUACAUGUGUGUGUCAAUUUUUGUGUCAUUUUGCCAAAGCGUACAGGUGUUACACUCAACAAUGUGUAUUUUCACCUUAGGGGACAAGAAAAAAUGGACUUUUUUCUCCUGCCAUGGGGGGGCGCUCUUUUGGGGAGUAAAAAUUCCUUCACAAAUGUGUUGAUGGCUGGACAUUGCAUCAUCCUAGAAAACUUGGAGGCCAGUGAGGGCAAAAAUAAAAAGUUAUAAGACUUUAAAAUAUGUGGAUCUUAGGGUUAUCUUUGGCGCCCCCUAGAACCUAAACCGUGGGGUGCAGCGUCAUGAUUUGAAUAACUUUUAAUGGCCAUGGGGUGUAGAUUGGCCUGAGCAAAUGUGGUGCCGGUGGAACGAAAGCCUUCGGAGGAGUUAGCGAAAUUCCAAUGUGUGCGGAUCGGCAAAAAAUGCGAAAUAACCCUUUAACCGUACAUUUGACAGAUACGCCCGCACUGACUUUUUUGUAGAUCUUAUUGAGAUACAUGUGUGUGUCAAUUUUUGUGUCAUUUUGACAAAGCGUACAGGCGUGACAGUGAAUAGUGUGAAUUUUCACCUUAGGGGGCGCUAUGGAGCCAUUUUGCAUUUUCUUGUUUGGGCGACUUCGGAAUAUCAAAUUUUUCACCAGGCCCGGUCGUCCUGCCAAAUUUCAUGAGUUUUCGCCAGUGGGAAGUGGGCCAUUUUCCAGUUCAAAGGGGAGGAAAAAUAAUAAUAAUAAUAACAAAAGAAGGAAACUACAGGAACAAGAGGGCUCUCGCAGCUGCUUAGCAGCUACGCUCGGGCCCUAAUAAUAAUAAUAACUAGGGCCCCGUUGGGGCACUGGCGGGCCCGAGCCGUGUCGCGCCCCCUCCCCAACGCGAUCGCCUCCCCAUCCCAUUCUCUUCCUCUGGCCAUCGCCCUCUCUGGUAACGCCCAUCACUACAAAGACUCUUAUCCUUCAUCGGCGUUUGUGGUUCUUCCCGCCAGUGUGUGUCCAACGCUUUUGCGCGUUGAAAGGUUAGGGUCUCCACUAAAGGUCAGAGGUCAAAUAACAUUUGUAUCUCAAACUGUGACGUCACAGUCAGGGUCCAAAGAUGGUGUGCGCAACUGUCUUUGGUCAUUUCCCAUUAUAAUGAAUGGGAGGCACAGUCUCUACCAAAACGCUCGCUGCAGAAAAACUACGUGUCCUUUUUGAAAAAAGUCUGGACCAUGAGUGAGGGCACAAACACAGCUAGUAUAUAUCCAAAUGGCAAGUUGCUCC
rnacentral:lncRNA from 1 species